rnacentral:rRNA from 1 species
UACAGAGGUGGCAAGCGUUGUUCGGAAUUACUGGGCGUAAAGGGCGCGUAGGCGGCCGCCUAAGUCAGACGUGAAAUCCCCAAGCUUAACUUGGGAACUGCGUCUGAUACUGGGUGGCUUGAGUUCGGGAGAGGAAUGUGGAAUUCCAGGUGUAGCGGUGAAAUGCGUUGAUAUCCUCAGGAACACCGGUGGCGAAGGCGACUCACUGGGUCUUUACUGACGCUGAUGCACGAAAGCUAGGGUAGCAAACGGG